GUCUAGGUAGCUCAGGGGUAGAGCGGAGGUCUGAAAAACCUUAGGUCAGUAGUUCGAUUCUACUUCUAGACA